rnacentral:rRNA from 1 species
CACGUAGGGUGCAAGCGUUGUCCGGAUUCAUUGGGCGUAAAGGGCUAGUAGGCGGCUUAGCAAGUCGGGUGUGAAAACUUCAGGCUCAACCUGGAGCGGCCAUCCGAUACUGCUAUGGCUAGAGUCCGGUAGGGGACCACGGAAUUCCUGGUGUAGCGGUGAAAUGCGCAGAUAUCAGGAGGAACACCGGUGGCGAAGGCGGGUCUCUGGACAGUUCCUGACGCUGAGGCACGAAGGCCAGGGGAGCAAACGGG